AACAACGCUGGCGGCAGGCUAACACCUGCAGUUAGCGCGCCUUCGGGUGAGCGGCGGACGGGUUAGUAACGCGUGGGAACGUGCCCUUCUCUACGGAGUAGCCUCUGGAAACGGAGAGUAAUACCGUAUACGCCCUUUGGGGGAAAGAUUUAUCGGAGAAGGAUCGGCCCGCGUUAGAUUAGGUAGUUGGUGGGGUAAUGGCCUACCAAGCCUACGAUCUAUAGCUGGUUUUAGAGGAUGAUCAGCAACACUGGGACUGAGACACGGCCAGACUCCUACGGGAGGCAGCAGUGGGGAAUCUUAGACAAUGGGGGCAACCCUGAUCUAGCCAUGCCGCGUGAGUGAUGAAGUGCCUUAGGGUCGUAAAGCUCUUUCGCCUGUGAUGAUAAUGACAGUAGCAGGUAAAGAAACCCCGGCUAACUCCGUGCCAGCAGCCGCGGUAAUACGGAGGGGGUUAGCAGUUGUUCGGAAUUACUGGGCGUAAAGCGCGCGUAGGCGGAUUAGAAAGUUAGGGGGUGAAAUCCCGGGGCUCAACCCCGGAACUGCCUCCAAAACUGCUAGUCUAGAGUUCGAGAGA
rnacentral:rRNA from 1 species